rnacentral:lncRNA from 1 species
UGCGGAAACAGAUUCUCGCCACGCCACCUGGUAGGAGCGACCUGUCAGGUAGGACGCAAUCCAAGCGUGGGCCGCGCCGGAGAUGCCCAACUCGGAGAGGGUGGAGAGGAGAAUCUGAUGGUUCACAGUAUCAAAGGCAGCAGAUAGGUCUAGAAGGAUGAGAGCAGAGGAGAGAGAGUUAGCUUUAGCAGUGCGGAGAGCCUCCGUGACACAGAGAAGAGCAGUCUCAGUUGAAUGCCCAGUCUUGAAACCUGACUGAUUAGGAUCAAGAAGGUCAUUCUGAGAGAGAUAGCAAGAGAGCUGGCCAAGGACGGCGCGUUCAAGAGUUUUGGAGAGAAAGGAAAGAAGGGAUACUGGUCUGUAGUUGUUGACAUCGGAGGGAUCGAGUGUAGACGGAAGGGACGUAGCCAGCGGUCAAGGAUGCGUUGAUGAGCGAG